rnacentral:rRNA from 1 species
CCUACGGGAGGCAGCAGUGAGGAAUAUUGGUCAAUGGUCGCGAGACUGAACCAGCCAAGCCGCGUGAGGGAUGACGGUCCAGAGUAUUGUAAACUUCUUUUGUCAGGGAACAAAGGCGGGGACGUGUCCCCGUAUGAGUGUACCUUAAGAAAAAGCAUCGGCUAACUCCGUGCCAGCAGCCGCGGUAAUACGGAGGAUGCGAGCGUUAUCCGGAUUUAUUGGGUUUAAAGGGUGCGCAGGGGGGUUGUUAAGUCAGCGGUCAAAGGUCGGGGCUCAACCCAGGCACUGCAUUUGAUACUGGCAGUCUUGAGUAGGAGAGAGGUAUGCGGAAUGCGCGGUGUAGCGGUGAAAUGCAUAGAUAUCGCGCAGAACUCCGAUUGCGAAGGCAGCAUACCGGCUCCACACUGACGCUGAGGCACGAAAGCGUGGGUAUCGAACAGGAUUAGAUACCCCUGUAGUC